CGCCGCGCGCUGUUGCAAAGCAGGGCGCACAGUGUCUAAACUUGCUACUUCUGUCAAAUAUUUUAUUGGAUCGCAUACAAAGGGAACCUUAUAGCUCCCUAACAGCCUCCGUCCCGUCCUCGUCGGCGCGGCCGCAGCUCUGCAGAGCUCCGCGCUGCAGCGCUGUGUUAUUUGAUCCCCGCUCUUUGCUGGGAAGAAAAGCUCGCCUCUUUCCCACGCUCUGAGGACACGUGGUGUCCGGAAUGAAUUGGUUGCAGAGGACCCUCCCUCCCUGGUGUCACCGUCAUCUCUCCCUCACCUCUCUCUUUCUCUGCCAUGCUUUCCAGCAUACAUUAGAAAGCAGAAGCGCAAUUAAGUAGCAGCCCUGAUGAUAAAUGAAAAAAAUACAUAUCGACGCCAUCUUCAAAGGAGAUGUAAUUUUCGCUUCCUCUGUGCGCGUCUACAUACCUGGACUCUCCAGCAGCGAGCAUUCCGGGAAGGCUCCCCCUCCCGUCCUGUGUGGCCCCGUUGCCCUGGCCUCGGCGCCAAAUCUCGGUCCAGCGCACAGGGCUGCAGUAUUUCCCUGCUCUGCACUCCUGGAUCUUACUUCUUUAUCCAUAUGAAAAUAUCCUAUAAGUAUUUUUCGGCAAACCAGAUUCAUAAACAGAGCCCAUGUCCAUAGUCUUGGUGUAAUUGCCUUUAAUUUGAGAUUCGGAACAAAUCUUAUUUACGCGACUUGUGCGUUUUUACGCACAUUCGGAAUGUCCAGUUGGUGUUGAAAUGUCAUAUUUUGGGGGGCGGAAGGAAGUAGUUUGAUGGCCCAUUAAUUGAAUUGGAAAAGUGAGAGCUAUUUUAUCUGCAACUAAAUGAAUGUAUGUUGGCUCCGUCCCAGGCUCACAUUGCUCAGGAACUCCAAAGUGAAGCGCAAGUGUUGGGGAGGGUAUUUGAGGAGAAACUCAUCCAGCGGAGAAACUCUUGGCUCCUGCGGUCUGUGCAAAUGUUUUCCAAGUGUCCAGACGCGCUACAGCUUAAAGCUGUGAUAACGGACAGAUGUUCCUAAUUUUCCGGAAAAUGUUCCGCACCAUCCAGUAACCUUAGACAAAAGAAGGAAAACAUGCAGUUGUGUGCUUGGGGAUGUGAUGCUGGGGAUCAGGGAGAAGUAAAGGCCUAAAAAAUGUGUGAUUUUUUUUGGCACGUUGUAAAAAAUAAAAUAAAACUUUAGUGAAUAUUAAACGGAAGCAAAGCAUACCAUAAUUUCAUUCCUGAUACUUGAAUAAUUUAAAGUUGGGUGUGUCAGGCCACAGUUUGGAGCUUUGGAGCUAUUUGUUUCAGAACCAAUCGGAAAUCAUAAUACUAGGGGUAUUAUGAUGGACUAUCCUCCAAAAACUGAAAAUGUAAGGGAGAUGGCUUAUUUCUGCUGGUUGGAUGAGAAAAGUGAAGUGAGUCCUAGAGGGAUCAAGACACAAUUUUCCAAAACUUCUUAUACACAAAGAUAAUCUCACAAUGACAAAAUGUUUCAAGUUAGAAACCUUUUAUUUGUCAAAUUAAAAGAAAAUGGACCACAAAAGCAGUUUCCAUUGUUCGAAGUUGGUAAAUGUGCCAAAACAUACAUCCAUUUAAAAAAUAUUACAGAAAUAAAGUGUAGUGAUUAGUGAUUUGGCGUUGGUCAACUGUUGAGGGCCUUCCUUUCUGGCCUGUAGACUCCAGUUCCUGACUUUAUUUAAGUAAACUGGAUAUUUGUAAUAAGUUGAAACACUGGUGUGCCCUGGUGCCAAAAAUAUUGGAUCAAAACGCGUUCAUUCAAAAGAAUUUGCUUUGCUUUGUCUAAAUGUACCAUAAGCCUAAGGCUUUAGGUAAAAGUGAGUUUAGAAUUCUUUUUGUUUUGAUUUAUAAUCUCAACAUCCAUUUUACCACGUGGUUUGAACAUUUCAUUUGCUUUCAGUGGGCGUUUGUGGACUUCAAUGAACUAAGACCUUCUAACGAGCAACAGGUCGUGUUUUGUUUCAGGUAUUGUUUCUGAUUCAGCAUUAUUUGUGGACUCCUGAUGGUUUCCCAAAUUCUCGCAAAGUGCGCAUUUGUGCAGGCUUUUGCGGCCUCAUAUGUGCGCCAAAUGUACUGUUCACAGUGUGUGUGUGUGUGUGGGGGGGGGGGGGGCGAAAGCCGCCAAACCAUUGGAGCAACUCAGAAAGUGUUACAUGGAUAAACAGACCUCAACUCGAGUCCGACAAACGGAGCAAAAAGCGCGAUGGAGACUUUAAGACCUUGCGGUUUUCUUGCGUUUCUGCUCCCCCGCCCCAGUCUUUCCGUGAUUUUAAAGCUAAUUUUCUCUGUUUAACUGCACUUCUGCAUUUCACCUCUUUUCUUCUGUCUCUCGCUCUCCCACACAUUCAGACACACACACAGGCGCUCUGUUCCCACGGUGGCCGGGGCAGCUGAGCAGCGUGUCAAUCUGCGCAGAGCGUCACCUUUUUUCACUUGCAAAAAGGAAGUAGUGCAGAGCUUUUGUUAUUUGAAGUCCCACCGUCUAGUCGUUCUAAAAACAACUGCACUAUAUCCGCCGUUUAUGAUUUAAACAGCCACCUAUAAUCUCCUCCUCAGAGGUGUUUUUACAUGGGGAGACAUGAACGGGAAACCCAGUCUAGAGUGCAGUUUAUUUAAGUGCCAUUUGGUUCAGGGGUUAUUUCUAUUGUGAGAGAACACGGGCGGUUUAAAGUCUGCUGACCUGAACACAGUCAGAGGAGAUGCGUUUUUUAUCUCCAUGCAGCGCAUUGAAUUGAUUAUACUUGAAUUUUUUGGGGGGAAUAUCUUCUUGACCACAAGGCCACCAUUAAUUAUUCUGUAUAUUUAACGUGUUUUGUUACAUCGAUGCACAAACAAAAAAGCAUCCACAAAAAAUCAAAUUUAACUCAUUUUUAUGGCACGAAAAAGUUGUGCGUAAAGGGCGCGCGUGUUUUUACGCAAUUUAAUCCAUAGUCUACAUUUUAGUAAUAUUUGAUACUUUAUUAUUGUCAUAAUUAAAAACAGAGCCCUACAAUUCUUUAUAUUAAAGAAGUGUGCUUUAGUAAAAGCAGAUGUGCAACUUCAAUAAAUGUGUUUUUUUUUUAUCUGUUUCAUUCAUCCGAUGGAUUAACUCAAUGAAACUGUUGCUGGAGUUCUCCCUGUCAGUGAAAGGUAUCUGACUUCAGGAACAGUUGAUAGUCCUUUGGAUGAGCCUCUGCCUUCUCCUUGGAGAAUGAAGACCACACCCCCUACCUACAGAUUCACAGGACCCAGUCCUUCCCUCUAACCGAGCCGGCAGCCUAUUACCUCCUCGGUACUCCGCCCAUUCCUUUACAGACGAUUCUUUGGGAAGGUAUUGUCAUGCAAAUAAAGGACGCGUAAAAUAUUCCCCCGGAGCGCAGCGCUGGGCAGAGACUCACACGGACCGCGAGGAGGACUCAAUCCGGGGCCCCACGGUGGAUUUGUAUUCUUUGCGUCGCUGCGGAGCCGUCCAUCUGUCACAGACCCGCCGGCCUUAUAAGCAGCGACGUACAGCCAGGAAGCAGGUCGGGCCGUUGAAGGAAAAGCAGCGGGAACAUCGAAGCUUUGUGGAGAGGGUGCUCAUACUUACACAGUCUCCCCCCUGUGAAUACGGUUCUGCCUCUACGCCAUCCCCUCAAGUAAACUACCUGCUGCUGCCACGGGAGGGAAGCUAUAACUAGAGAACCCCGGAUCGCUUGAGAGCAUCCUUUAAAGGGGAUUUCCUCAGAAAUUAACAUU